rnacentral:misc_RNA from 1 species
AAGUCGUAACAAGGUUUCCGUAGGUGAACCUGCGGAAGGAUCAUUAUUGAAUAAACUUGGUCGGGUUGCUGCUGGCUUUUCGGAGCAUGUGCACGCCUGCCACCAUUUUUACCACCUGUGCACUCUUUGUAGAUCUAGAAUAUCUCUCGAGGAAACUCGGUUUGAGAGAUGCUGUGCGCAAGCCAGCUUCUCUUGCAUUCUAGGUCUAUGUAUUAUUAUACCCCAUACUAUAUUUCAGAAUGUCAUUAAUGGGCCUUGUGCCUUUAAAUUAAUACAACUUUCAACAACGGAUCUCUUGGCUCUC